CUAACAAGGAUUCCCCUAGUAACUGCGAGUGAAGCGGGAAAAGCUCAAAUUUGAAAUCUGGCAGUCUUUUUUUUCUUCUUUGGCUGUCCGAGUUGUAAUCUAGAGAAGUGCUUACCUGCGCUGGACCAUGUAUAAGUCUCCUGGAAUGGAGCGUCACAGAGGGUGAGAAUCCCGUCUUUGACAUGGACUGCCAGUGUGUUGUGGUGUGCUCUCAAAGAGUCGAGUUGUUUGGGAAUGCAGCUCUAAAUGGGUGGUAAACUCCAUCUAAAGCUAAAUAUUGGCGAGAGACCGAUAGUGAACAAGUACCGUGAGGGAAAGAUGAAAAGGACUUUGGAAAGAGAGUUAAACAGUAUGUGAAAUUGUUGAAAGGGAAACGCUUGAAGUCAGUUAUGUUGGCUAGGGAUCAACCUAGCUGUUUUUUGCUGGGUGAAUUUCCUAGUCUGACAGGCCAACAUCAGUCUUGACUGCUGGAAAAGAGCAGGGGGAAUGUGGCACCUUUGGGUGUGUUAUAGCCCUUCGUCAUAUGUGGCAGUCGGGACUGAGGGAUGCAGCAUGCCGCGAGGCUGGGUUUCUGACCACGUUCAUGCUUAGGAUGUUGGCUUUUAAUGGCUUCAAUCGACCCGUCUUGAAACACGGACCAAGGAGUCUAACAUGCCUGCGAGUGUUUGGGUGGGGAAAACCCUUGUGCACAAUGAAAGUGAAAGUUGAGAUCCCUGUCAUGGGGAGCAUCGACGCCCGGACCUGAGCUUUUAGCGACGGAUCCGCGGUAGAGCAUGCAUGUUGGGACCCGAAAGAUGGUGAACUAUGCCUGAAUAGGGCAAAGCCAGAGGAAACUCUGGUGGAGGCUCGUAGCGAUUCUGACGUGCAAAUCGAUCGUCAAAUUUGGGUAUAGGGGCGAAAGACAAUCG
rnacentral:rRNA from 1 species